UAUUUUGUUUUGUUUUGAAUCGCACAGCAUUGACCUCUGAUAUCGCUGCGGUCAAUACCUCACGCCAUCGGUUUAGAGUGCACAUGCAUAGAUAACGCAGGUAUACGUUGUUGUGUUUAGUCGAGCUGGUUCUUCUCGUCGGGUCGGUCGCGAAAAUAUAAUUCGAUAAUUUGCAUUGCAUUUAAUUGGAAUGCAACGUAAUUUGUGCUUAUUAUUGUUAUUGUGCGACCGCGUGGCUCAUCACCUUCUUUUGGUUGAUUUUAUGGAUUUUGACGACCCAUAUUUUGUUUCCGUCUAUUUUUAAAGAAGUGUUUGCCGUGCCUUGGAGUCCAUGAGUUGUGCAUUGUAUUCGCCAACUUGCCGUCGAUAUACCGUCUUCCAUAACCGGUAUGUAAAAUAAUUUCAUUAUUUAUAGUAACUGUUUGCCGUGUUAGUGUAGUGUACCUAGAUUGCAAUAUUCCUCAUCACCUCAUCUUAGUAACAUUUAUAUAUCACUUAAAUAUUUAAUGUUAAAAACGAAUAAUCUUUCACCAUAAGAAUUUAAAAUUACAUAAAUAGAAUUUUAAUUUAUCAUUAUUCCACUUUCUUUAACGCCAUGCGAAUAGCAACGUCCAAGAUUGCCGAGUGUUGUCGUUGCCAUCCUUUCGCGCCUCGCUCUGCUUUUCUAGUUUAGUUUAGUUCGCAUGUAUCGGGUCUAUUGCAAUUUGUGCGCGGGCAGUCGCCGCGGCCAUCCUUGCGCCGGCUUUGCGCGUUCGGGCAGCACGUAGUCUUAUCAAGAACUGUUGCGACCGUGUUUGCUUCGCUGAGGUACAGCAUGCACUAGUUUAAGACUUUGCCGUAUAGAGAAUUUUCAGUAGAUUAAUAAUUUUCAAUCCGUUGCCCUAUGUUGUUUCCAGAUAUUAAAAUAAUAGAAAAUGAAAAUGUCCAAUUUUUAGGACUUUUAGACAUUUUCGAGAUUUCCAAUUUAACUAACUUAUUCUACAGAGAAUUUUCCGUAAAUUAAGACUCUGCCAUUCGUUCCUUUUUAUCGUCAAAAAUUGAAAAAUUGCAAUUUUUAGCACUUCCAGUCGCGGUUUUAGGCCUUUUACUCCAUUAAAUUAAAUUAUUUUAAAUUUCCAUCAGUUUCCAUUUCCACAGUAACUUCGUAAAAAUUUUCCUAGAUGCCGAAUUUAAUUCUGUAUCUCCCGGUAUCGAAAUUUAUGGCAAGAAAAUUCCGUAACGCGAGUUAUAUUGAAAGUUGUGUGUGUGUGCCUUAGUACUUGUUGCCCUACGAAUUCUAGUUUUAUUAGUAUAACACGCGAACGCGGUGUCACAGUAACUUCGGAAAAAUUGUCCUAGUUACCGAAUUAAUUCUGUAUCUCCCUGUGUCAAAAUUUAUUGCGAUAAAAUUUCGUAAUGUGAGUUAUAUUGAAAGUUGUGUGUGUGUGACUUAGUAUUCGUUGCGCUAGGAAUUGUAGUUUUUUAUAGUAUAACACACGGACGCGGUGUCACAGUAACUUUGGAAAAAUUUUUCUAAUUGUUGUUUUUUUUUUAUUAUAACACGCGAACACGGUUUUACUGUAAGUUCGGAAUAAUUUUCUUUGAUGCGGAAUUUAAUUCUGUAUCUCCCUGAAUCGAAAUUUAUUGCCAGAAAAUUCCGUAACGCGAGUUAUAUGUACAAUUGUGUGUAUACGCACUUGUACUUCUUGCGCUAUGAAUUGUAGUUUUUUUUAUUAUAACACGCGUACGCGGUCUUACUGUAAGUUCGAAAUA